UAGUGGCCGGAUCGAAGCUGAAAUAAAGUGUUGUUUAUCUCAGUCAAAACUCGGCCUACAGCAAAGAUUAACCUUAAAGGUCACUUGUAGGCUGUUGUCUUACAAGUAUUACCCAAGAUUAAUACAGUU